rnacentral:lncRNA from 1 species
GAAGCUACUUCAGACUGAGGGCAAGGAAUCGAACCUGGUCUACUCGCCGCUAUCCAUCCACGUGGUGCUCAGCCUGAUCGCGGCCGGGUCGGAGGGCCCCACCCAGGACCAGCUCCUCUACUUCCUCAAGUCCAAGUCCGCCGAUCACCUCAACUCCUUCGCCGCCGAGCUCGUCUCCGUCCUCUUCUCCGACGGGUCCCCCAGCGGUGGGCCCCUCUUGUCAUUUGCGAAUGGCAUUUGGGUCGACAGCUCUCUCCCUCUCAAGCCUUCUUUCAAGCAGGUGGUGGACACUGCUUACAAGGCAGCUCUCUCCCAAGUCGAUUUUCAGACCAAUGUAAGCUCCCUUGCCCCUAUACCCGUCGUGGAUUUUGGUCACUGGCUUACAAUAAAAUGGAACUUGGAAGUCUCCAACUUUUUUUUGCUGCUGCUGAUGCUCUGUCCUACUUGUUUCAUUUAAUCUCCAAUUGCAGCAAACUUCAAUUAAUUUUUUGCUACUUAGCCUGUCUGUGUUCAUGCUAAUAAGCUAAUUCCACUAUGAAAUCUUAUCACCAAUUUCUUAAUUAGUGUGGUUUUGCUUUUGCAUAGCCUUUGCCCUUAUGAAAUCUUAUAACAGACUGUUUGCUAAUUAGUAUUCGUGCUGAUAAUAUGAUUAGUCAAAAGACCCUUGGGAUCGCGCAAUUGCUGGUCUAUAAUGUUCCUCUUUUCGUUUAAUAAAAUGAUUGACAUUCUAAAAUCGGUCGGUUUUGAUUGGCGGGACUGGCAAGCAACACAAUCCUACUAGUUAGUUUCUUGCAGAAAACAAUCCAUUAAUUGCACUUUGUGUGUGUGUGUAAAGUAUGAUAGAAUGAUAAAAUUCCUAGGGGGGUAAAAGCACUCCAUAAUGAGUUGAAUUGCCCUUUGUUUCUGCCUUUCUCAUUUAGUUAGUAGAAUGAUUGUUUUUCAGUGUGUUUUUAUUACUGAAACAAUAAGUAUGCUGAUAGCAAUAUUUCAUAAAUUAUUGUUCUUGGUACUCGAGGCUGCUGAAGUGGCCUCUGGAGUGAAUUCAUGGGCUGAAAAGGAGACUAGUGGCCUUAUCAAGGAGAUACUUCCUCCCGGGUCAGUUGACAGCUCAACCAGGCUCAUCUUUGCAAAUGCAUUAUACUUCAAAGGAGCUUGGAACGAGGAGUUUGAUGCAUCAACAACAAAAGAGCAUGACUUCCACCUUCUCGACGGGAGCACAGUUAAGGCACCCUUCAUGACCAGCAAGAAGAAGCAGUUUGUAAGUUCCUACGAUGGUUUCACAGUCUUAGGACUUCCUUACAAACAAGGUGAAGACAAGCGGCGUUUCUCCAUGCACGUCUUUCUUCCAGAGGCAAAAGAUGGGCUGCCAUCUUUGGUUGAGAAGCUCGAUUCUGAGUCCGGGUUUUUGGAUCGCCAUCUUCCCAAGCAACAAGUUGAAGUGGGUGACUUCAGACUCCCAAAGUUUAAGAUCUCUUUCGGGUUUGAAGCUUCCAAUGUUCUGAAGGGUCUAGGAGUGGUGUUGCCUUUCAGUGGUGGAGGUUUGACAGGGAUGGUGGACUCUCCUGUGGGUCAGAACCUAUAUGUUUCCAGCAUAUUCCACAAGUCCUUCAUUGAAGUGAAUGAGGAAGGAACGGAAGCUGCAGCUGCUUCUGCUGGUGUCAUAAAAUUGAGGGGUCUGCCCAUAACCACCGACUUUGUGGCCGAUCAUCCAUUCCUCUUCCUGAUCCGAGAAGAAUUGACUGGAACGGUCAUGUUCAUCGGUCAUGUUCUAAAUCCCCUUGCAGACUGAUUAUUAUUAUAACAUCUCCUGUACUAAGAGGAAAUGUGUUGGUACAUCAAGACCAGACUUUAGUAUUAAAAAAAUGUAUGUUCAUGUGCUGUAUUUUGUUAUUACCUAAUUACCCGUACUCUCAGUAGCAGCCUUGUUUCCCAUGUGGCUGGCGAUUGUUGUUGGUUCUGCUGCCAUGCCUUCAAUCUAUUGUAGAAUCUUGAUUCCAAAUACUUAUUUUAUGAUGUACUCUGUUUGACAAGAAGCUUUAGCUGAAACCGAGUGAUGGUUUCCACAAUUUUGGUUUAGUGCUAACUAUCAGUACUAAGUUUGACAUUUACAAAACAGUACCUUAGUUGUGUCAAAAACAUUUAGAAACACAUGUUUGAGGAGCGUGCUUUGUUUGUCUUGUCUUAAAAUUUUCACAAUAUCUGAAUCAAAUUUCCAAGUAUAAUGCUUGAUUUUCUAUGUUGGGUACUUUUAUUUUCCUUUCUUGUCUGCUUGAUUCCGUUUUUUUUUAAAUUUCUUUUCUGCUUGAUUAUGAUUUGUUGAAUUGUUGCUAUUAAUUAUUUUGGUGUAAUUCGGGUUAUGGUCCAGCAUUUUCCCGCUUUCUAAUCACGGCCAUCUCCUUCUUUCUUAUCACUUCCCCUCCACUUCCUCCACCGUCAGUCAGCAUGCUAUUAUAUUAGCAAGCAAGAGAGAAAGGAUAGAAAUUUAUCAUAAAAUUAAUGCCUAAACGAAAGAACCUCCUACUAAAUUAAUCAAAUGAAACAAACCCAAUUAGAAUUAGUCAUCAGUUAAUGUGGUGCAUUCGACAAAUAAAUAUACGUACAUUUUAAGCAGCUAACAAUCGAAAUGUCUUCCCUUCCCAUCCAAAAAAUAAGGCAACAAUGGAUGAUCUAAUAAGAGAAAGCAUCCGCAACCAGAACGACGUCGCUUUGGGGCUCAACAAUAAGCAACUACUUCAGACUGAGGGCAGGGAAUCGAACGUGGUCUACACUCCCCGCUGUCCAUCCACGUGGUGCUCAGCGUGAUCGCCGCUGGGUCCAAGGGUCCAACCGUCCAACCUAGGACCAGCUGGCAGCUGCUCUCCUUCCUCAAGUCCAAGUCCGCCGAUCACCUCAACUCCUUCGCCGCCGAGUUUAUCUCCGUCAUCUUCUCCGAUGGGUUCCCCAGCUGUGGGGGCUUGUCAUUUGCAAAUGGCAUUUGGGUCAACCGGC